rnacentral:rRNA from 1 species
GACGAACGCUGGCGGCGUGCUUAACACAUGCAAGUCGAACGGAAAGGCCCUGCUUUUGUGUUUUGCUCGAUUGGCGAACGGGGGUGUAACACGUGAGUAACCUGCCCUUGACUUUGUGAUAACUUCAGGGAACUGGGGCUAAUACCCGAUAGAAGCUCCUGCUGCAUGGUGUGGGUUGGUAAGUUUCGGCGGUUGGGGAUGGACUAGAGGCUUAUCAGCUUGUUGGUGGGGUAGUGGCUUACCAAGGCUUUGACGGGUAGCCGGCCUGUGAGGGGGACCGGCCACAUUGGGACUGAGAUACGGCCCAGACUCCUACGGGAGGCAGCAGUGGGGAAUAUUGCACAAUGGGCGGAAGCCUGAUGCAGCAACGCCGCGUGCGGGAUGACGGCCUUCGGGUUGUAAACCGCUUUCGCAUGUGACGAAGCGUGAGUGACGGUAAUGGGUAAAGAAGCACCGGCUAACUACGUG